GCGAUCUUACUUGAACAGGAUCUGUUCUAUAGACUCGCACCUCCGAAGCCUUUAGCACUAAAUUGACAGAAUCUCAAGUCUGGAUGAUGAGCCACGACCUUGUGAUUAGAGCGUGAUUAACAGCUUCCUUGGUCCCUCGGGGCCAAUCCAAAGCCGUAGAGGAUCGUUCUUAGCUUAGUGUUCAUCUGGCUGGGAUGGUCACAAGGUUGUCUGACAGACC
rnacentral:snoRNA from 1 species